AGCUAAUAGAUACCCUGGUAGUCCUGGCCCUCAACGUUGCUCGCUCGUUUUACGGAGUAUCGACCCUCUGUGAGACUAAAGCUAACGCGGUAAGCGAGCCGCCUGGGUAGUACGAUCGCAAGAUUAAAACUCAAAGGAAUAGACGGGGACUCGCACACGCAGUGGAUUAUGCGGCUUAAUUCGUCGGUAAACGAAGAACCUUACCAAGGUUAGAAACCCAACUGCAUCCGACCUGAAAGGGACGGAGCCUUCGAGGGUGUUGGGCAGGUGAUGCAUGGUCGUCGUCAGUUCGUGGUUUGAACUGUUCCCUUCAGUGGGGU
rnacentral:rRNA from 1 species